rnacentral:misc_RNA from 1 species
AGCUGAAAUCGAUAACUAUUAUGAGCAACUUAACAAAAUAUCUUAUUUGAUAGAUUACAUGGCAGUCCUAAUUAUGCUCCUUACAAUUUAUUUGAUGAGUACCAAGAUAUACAAAUAAUCUUACUAUAUAAGGUCAGAGCACUUAAAGAAUGUAAGAAUGAGUAGUAUGAUCAACAGGCUUAUCAACAAGUUAAGGAUAAAGA